AAGAUAUGAAAAAGGAUUAAAAAAGAAAUAAGGAAAUGGAGGGCUUCGGUUCCUUUCCCUCUAAUAUACAUUGCAGUGUUUUUUUGGAAGCAAAUCAAAGGAUAUGUGGUGGAAAGCUUACCGAACGAAGUAUCUCCGGCGGCUCUUCAAAAUUGGCGUUGGUGGAUAAAGUUCAGAACCCUUUUCCUUCUUGUUCAGGUAAGUGUAUCUCCUUUCUCUGAACUUGAUGCUUGUUUCCUCUUCUUCCCCUUCUUUGAGUUUGUUGUUUGAAUGCAUGCUAGAGUAGAGUAUGAAUUUGAGUUAGUGAGUUGAAUUGAAUGUUGAAUGAAUGAUGUUAGUUAGAGUUGUUAGUAUGAAUUUUUUAUUUGAAUUGCAGUUAGUGAAUAAAAUAGUUAGUGAGGUUAGGAAAAAAUGAGUUAAUGAUAGACUGUUAACUGAUGUGAAAAAUAGUUAAGAGUUCAAAUGUAGUUGAUAUUAGAGUUAGUUAAUUGAAUGAAUGAAUUAGUUAGUAAUACUAACAGUUAUUGAAUUGAAUUUUAAAGUCAGUUUAGGAAAAUAUUGAAAUGUUAGAUUUUAUAGGUUAGUUGUAGUUAGCUAACGGAUUUUGGAAUAUUGAAGUUAGUGUAAUGUUAUCAAUGCUGAAUGCUUUUGCUAAACUGAUGAUAUCCACUGAAAUUGAAAUCAAAGUGAACCAUUAACUAGUUUGGAGGCUAAUUGUGUCACUUAUGUAUGGACCUGAAAUUAGGAUGGUGGUUACCAAGACGUGGCUAGUUGGGUUUGAAGUGAAAGAAACACGCUUGGUGGAAAGAUUAGAGUGCUAUACUUGUGAAUUAAAUGUUAGUUACAUGAUUGUGGACAUGGAUGUGAGCUUGUGACAUUUAGCAUUUACAUAACAAGGUACGUUAGUCAUUGGAUACUUAUGACUUGUUAUGAUUUGUUAGUAGGAUUAGUGGUCUACAUGGUUGUGUUAUGUUGUUGAAUGGAAUGACAUGGAAACUAAACAUACUAGUUAUUGUUAGUUUGUUAUGGACAAACUGGCAUAUGUUAAUGAACUGCUAGGUAGAUGUAGAUUGAAAUUGUUGAAUUGGUAUAGUAUUAAUGCUAAUGGGAAGUGAAUUGGUUAAUUGGUUAAAUGGUAUAAAUGUGUAAAGAGAAUUAGUGUUGUAAAUGUGUAGAAAAUCAUGAAUGUUGUUAGAAUUAAAUAUGUUCAUUGAUUGUAGUGAUUAUUGAACCGAAAUUCACUUGUUAUGUUACCUUGCCUUAGGUUUUCGCAAUUGUGGAUGUGUAUGAACUAUUUUGCGGGACUUGUGGGAUUAAGGACCAAAGUUGGCAUGGGUUGCCCAUGAAGAAAGUUGGUGCAUCAUGAUAGAGUUUUGGAGUGGAAAUGAAGAAAGAUGGGAUAUCAAGGUGGGCAUCAUGAAGAUCAAGAAAUAAAUAGGUCUAAGGUUAAGUUGACUUUGGACAACUGUUUGACCAAAAGUCAAUAGUUGACUAAAAAGUCAAUUUUAUGUCAAAUUUAGGGUUUUUUGCAUGUGCUUUGUAAAUUUGGAUCCUGUAAUGAAAUAUUUGAUGCUUUUUGUAAUGUUUGAAGAUUUCGUAAUAAAAUUGGUCUCUUUGUAUGCAA
rnacentral:lncRNA from 1 species